AUUGAACGCUGGCGGCAGGCCUAACACAUGCAAGUCGAGCGAGCGGCGGACGGGUGAGUAAUGUCUGGGAAACUGCCUGAUGGAGGGGGAUAACGACUGGAAACGGUAGCUAAUACCGCAUACCAUCGGAUGUGCCCAGAUGGGAUUAGCUAGUAGGUGGGGUAACGGCUCACCUAGGCGACGAUCCCUAGCUGGUCUGAGAGGAUGACCAGCCACACUGGAACUGAGACACGGUCCAGACUCCUACGGGAGGCAGCAGUGGGGAAUAUUGCACAAUGGGCGCAAGCCUGAUGCAGCCAUGCCGCGUGUAUGAAGAAGGUCUUCGGGUUGUAAAGUACUUUCAGUUGGGAGGCGUUACCCACAGAAUAAGCACCGGCUAACUCCGUGCCAGCAGCCGCGGUAAUAC
rnacentral:rRNA from 1 species